rnacentral:rRNA from 1 species
CAGGCUUAACACAUGCAAGUCGAGGGGCAGCAUUUCAGUUUGCUUGCAAACUGGAGAUGGCGACCGGCGCACGGGUGAGUAACACGUAUCCAACCUGCCGAUAACUCGGGGAUAGCCUUUCGAAAGAAAGAUUAAUACCCGAUGGUAUAAUCAGACCGCAUGGUUUGAUUAUUAAAGAAUUUCGGUUAUCGAUGGGGAUGCGUUCCAUUAGGCAGUUGGUGAGGUAACGGCUCACCAAACCUUCGAUGGAUAGGGGUUCUGAGAGGAAGGUCCCCCACAUUGGAACUGAGACACGGUCCAAACUCCUACGGGAGGCAGCAGUGAGGAAUAUUGGUCAAUGGGCGCAGGCCUGAACCAGCCAAGUAGCGUGGAGGAUGACUGCCCUAUGGGUUGUAAACUUCUUUUAUAUGGGAAUAAAGUUUUCCACGUGUGGAAUUUUGUAUGUACCAUAUGAAUAAGGAUCGGCUAACUCCGUGCCAGCAGCCGCGGUAAUACGGAGGAUCCGAGCGUUAUCCGGAUUUAUUGGGUUUAAAGGGAGCGUAGGUGGACAGUUAAGUCAGUUGUGAAAGUUUGCGGCUCAACCGUAAAAUUGCAGUUGAUACUGGCUGUCUUGAGUACAGUAGAGGUGGGCGGAAUUCGUGGUGUAGCGGUGAAAUGCUUAGAUAUCACGAAGAACUCCGAUUGCGAAGGCAGCUCACUGGACUGCAACUGACACUGAUGCUCGAAGGUGUGGGUAUCAAACAGGAUUAGAUACCCUGGUAGUCCACACAGUAAACGAUGAAUACUCGCUGUUUGCGAUAUACAGUAAGCGGCCAAGCGAAAGCAUUAAGUAUUCCACCUGGGGAGUACGCCGGCAACGGUGAAACUCAAAGGAAUUGACGGGGGCCCGCACAAGCGGAGGAACAUGUGGUUUAAUUCGAUGAUACGCGAGGAACCUUACCCGGGCUUAAAUUGCAUUUGAAUAAUCUGGAAACAGGUUAGCCGCAAGGCAAAUGUGAAGGUGCUGCAUGGUUGUCGUCAGCUCGUGCCGUGAGGUGUCGGCUUAAGUGCCAUAACGAGCGCAACCCUUAUCUUUAGUUACUAACAGGUCAUGCUGAGGACUCUAGAGAGACUGCCGUCGUAAGAUGUGAGGAAGGUGGGGAUGACGUCAAAUCAGCACGGCCCUUACGUCCGGGGCUACACACGUGUUACAAUGGGGGGUACAGAAGGCAGCUACCUGGUGACAGGAUGCUAAUCCCAAAAGCCUCUCUCAGUUCGGAUCGAAGUCUGCAACCCGACUUCGUGAAGCUGGAUUCGCUAGUAAUCGCGCAUCAGCCAUGGCGCGGUGAAUACGUUCCCGGGCCUUGUACACACCGCCCGUCAAGCCAUGAAAGCCGGGGGUACCUGAAGUACGUAACCGCAAGGAGCGUCCUAGGGUAAAACUGGUAAUUGGGGC